rnacentral:rRNA from 1 species
GUGAGGAAUAUUGGUCAAUGGGCGAGAGCCUGAACCAGCCAAGUAGCGUGCAGGAUGACGGCCCUAUGGGUUGUAAACUGCUUUUAUGCGGGGAUAAAGUUCGCCACGUGUGGCGUUUUGUAGGUACCGCAUGAAUAAGGACCGGCUAAUUCCGUGCCAGCAGCCGCGGUAAUACGGAAGGUCCGGGCGUUAUCCGGAUUUAUUGGGUUUAAAGGGAGCGCAGGCUGGAGAUUAAGCGUGACGUGAAAUGUAGCCGCUCAACGGCUGAGUUGCGUCGCGAACUGGUUUUCUUGAGUGAGUACGACGUCAGCGGAAUUCGUGGUGUAGCGGUGAAAUGCUUAGAUAUCACGAAGAACCCCGAUUGCGAAGGCAGCUGACGAGUCCUUUACUGACGCUAAAGCUCGAAGGUGCGGGUAUCGAACAGG